ACAUCUUUUGAGUCUGAGUGUGACUUACCCAAGAUCAUGCAGUCAGUUUUAUACGUGAGCGGGGAAUUGAACCCUGAUCUCCAUAGUCAUAGUCCAGCACUCAAACCACUACAUUACUUCAACUAUGACUCCUGGAUAAUAAUGAUGAAACUUCAGUGGAAAUUGGUGAAAAUCAAUUUCUGAAAUGUUGCAUGAGUCUAGAUGUGACCAAUGGCAUCAUUAACAGGGUGCAGGGGGUUCACACUGUACUGGGUUACACCCAUCAGGAGGUGUGACACCAGUAGGGAGGCUGCAGCAGCAGCACACCCAGUGCCUUGAGGAGACCUUGUCCUAGUUGUUGUGGGUGGUAUCAGCCAAGCUGGUAGCGAGUGUUAAAGUGCCUCUGUCCUGGCCUCCACCACCUUUGUCCCACUGGCUCCACAUGGUUGCUUUUGCUCAGGAGGAGGAGAGGGAGAAUCCACCACACCUGCUUUCCUUAUCCUAGCUAUGCUAGCCAUGUGUCUCCAAGGGCAGCACCUGGGUCUGAGUGAGGAAAGAAGAUGGAGCACUGAAGAUAAACCUGGUUAUCUCAAAAACAUGGCUGUAGCCCAGAGUUGAUCAUACCACUAGGCAGAAUGUGGAAGCCAUCUCAAGCAGCAGUAUUGGUCUUCUAUGGAAACUGGCUCCUUAAAAUCAGUGCAAAGAUUACAUGUCUGUGAAAGAAGGAUGCAGGCCAGCUCACUACAGCUACAUGAUUAAACCAAUGGCUGGAGGAACAACUGAAGUCAAGAGGAAUAACUUUAAAAACCAGUCUAUAUAAAAAAAGGAAUGCAAUAGAACAGAUAAAACUAAAAGAGGAUGCAUUAUGAAAUACUAACUACCUGUCUCUACUGACCCCAUAGACACAUAAUU